AGCAGCCGCGGUAAUUCCAGCUCCAAUAGCGUAUAUUAAAGUUGUUGCAGUUAAAAAGCUCGUAGUUGAAUUUCGGGAUCAAUAUGUUGGUCGUGCCUCGGUACGUACUAGCUUAUUGGUUUCUCCCUUCUGACGAACCAUGAUGUCAUUUAUUUGGUGUUAUGGGAAAUCAGGACUGUUACUUUGAAAAAAUUAGAGUGUUUAAAGCAGGCUCACGCUUGAAUACAUUAGCAUGGAAUAAUGAAAUAGGACGUUUGAUUCUAUUUUGUUGGUUUCUAGGAUCGACGUAAUGAUUAAUAGGGAUAGUUGGGGGCAUUAGUAUUCAAUUGUCAGAGGUGAAAUUCUUGGAUUUAUUGAAGACUAACUACUGCGAAAGCAUUUGCCAAGGAUGUUUUCAUUAAUCAAGAACGAAAGUUAGGGGAUCGAAGACGAUCAGAUACCGACGUAGUCUUAACCAUAAACUAUGCCGACUAGGGAUCGGAUGAUGUUAAUUUUUAAUGUACUCAUUCGGCGC
rnacentral:rRNA from 1 species